GACGAACGCUGGCGGCGUGCUUAACACAUGCAAGUCGAACGGAAAGGCCCCUUUGGGGGUACUCGAGUGUCGAACGGGUGAGUAACACGUGAGUAACCUGCCCUUGACUUCGGGAUAACUUCAGGAAACUGGGGCUAAUACCGGAUAGGAAUCCUUGCUGCAUGGUGGGGGUUGGAAAGCUUCGGCGGUUUUGGAUGGACUCGCGGCUUAUCAGCUUGUUGGUGGGGUAGUGGCUUACCAAGGCUUUGACGGGUAGCCGGCCUGAGAGGGCGACCGGCCACACUGGGACUGAGAUACGGCCCAGACUCCUACGGGAGGCAGCAGGGGGGAAUAUUGCACAAUGGGCGGAAGCCUGAUGCAGCAACGCCGCGUGCGGGAUGACGGCCUUCGGGUUGUAAACCGCUUUCAGCAGGGGCGAAGCUUGUGGUGACGGUACCUGCAGAAGAAGCACCGGCUAACUACGUG
rnacentral:rRNA from 1 species